rnacentral:rRNA from 1 species
AGAGUUUGAUCCUGGCUCAGAAUCAACGCUGGCGGCGUGCCUAACACAUGCAAGUCGAACGAGAAAGGGUAGCAAUACCUGAGUAAAGUGGCGCACGGGUGAGUAACACGUGACUAACCUACCCUGGAGUGGGGGAUAACUGAGGGAAACCUUAGCUAAUACCGCAUAAUACCUACGGGUCAAAGGAGCAAUUCGCUUCAGGAGGGGGUCGCGGCCGAUUAGUUAGUUGGCGGGGUAAUGGCCCACCAAGACAGUGAUCGGUAUCCGGCCUGAGAGGGCGCACGGACACACUGGAACUGAAACACGGUCCAGACUCCUACGGGAGGCAGCAGUGGGGAAUUUUGCGCAAUGGGGGAAACCCUGACGCAGCAACGCCGCGUGGA